rnacentral:rRNA from 1 species
UGAGGAAUAUUGGUCAAUGGGCGCAAGCCUGAACCAGCCAUCCCGCGUGAAGGAAGAAGGCGCUAUGCGUUGUAAACUUCUUUUCCAGGGGGAGAAUUUUUCCGUCGUGACGGGAAUUGACGGUACUCUGGGAAUAAGCAUCGGCUAACUCCGUGCCAGCAGCCGCGGUAAUACGGAGGAUGCGAGCGUUAUCCGGAUUUAUUGGGUUUAAAGGGUGCGUAGGCGGAUAGAUAAGUCAGUGGUGAAAUUCUGCAGCUUAACUGUAGACUUGCCGUUGAUACUGUCAGUCUUGAGUAUGGUCAAGGCAGGCGGAAUGUGUAAUGUAGCGGUGAAAUGCUUAGAUAUUACACAGAACACCGAUUGCGAAGGCAGCUUGCUGGGCCAUUACUGACGCUCAGACGCGAAAGCUAGGGUAGCAAACGG